AUGGCGAGUUCUCGCCUCGCUCUGGGCGUUCUACUACUGCUCGUCGUGGCGACAUCGGGUGCGGCGGCGUUCCGGACGGGCAACACGACGGCCAUCCACAUCGGCAACACCAAGGCCUGCAUCGCCGGCUACGGGGGGCUUGAGGAUCUGGGCAUGUCGUACAAGCUCUGCAUCCCCUCCUGGGUCGCCUUCACCCCCAACGGCACCCUCUUCGGCGAGGCCGCCUUGAACCACGCCGCCGUCAGCCCCGGGACGGCCGUCUCCGGCUUCAAGCGGGUCCUCGGUUCCAAGUACCAACAUUCUCUCUUGUUUUCUUCCCUCCUCCGCCUAAGUCGAUGGAUGUUUGAGGACGUGGUGAAGGCAGAGAUGGAGCUGGUGCCGUACAAGCUCGUCGGGACCCAGGCCGGAAGGUGUGCUAUCCAGAUCGAGACCGAGGAAGGCGGCGCCGAGGUUUUCUCCGCCCACACAGUCGCCGGCAUUCUCAUAUCCAAGCUUAAGCGGAUGGCGGAGGCGCACCUGGGCCGCAAGAUCAGGAGCGCUCUCCUGACCGUCCCCUGGCACUGGAGGGACUACCAAAGGCACCUUCUCGCAACGGCCGCCCGGCUCGAGGGCGGCUUCUCCGCCGCGAGGUACGUCGACGAGCACGUCGCGGUGGCCGCGGCGCUCGGCCAUCACGAGAAGGCGCGCCAAGGCAAGGUCAUCCUCGUCUUCCACAUGGGCGGCCGCACGACCCACGCCACCAUGUUUAAGUUUCGGGACGGCACGACUCGUCUCAUUGAAGGGCGCCAUGAUGCCCAACUGGGCGGCGACGACUUCACCUGCCGACUCGUGGACCACUUCGUCCAGCUUAUCAGGGAGAAGCACCACCGGGACCUCCGCCAGGACGAUGGCGCGCUCCGGGAGCUGAGGGCGGCGUGCGAGAGGGCCAAGAAGGCGCUGACCUACUGGGACACCACGCUUGUGAAGGUGGAGUCGCUCUUGGACGGGGCGGAUUUCUUCGAGCCGCUCACGAGGGCCGAGUUCGAGGAGCUCAACCGUGAUCUGCUGGCGAGAGCCACUAGCAUGGUGGACCUGCUGGCGUCGUGGCGGUGGUGGCUCCCUCCCGGCCGGUGGGACAACAUCGAUGAGAUCAUCCUCGUCGGCGGCAGCGUGAGGAUCCCCAAGAUUAUUGAGUUUUUCAGGGACUAUUUCCAUGGCCGGGAGCCAAUUGUGGAGGAGGAAGCGGCGAUUCGCGGCGCUGCUCUGCUCUCCCGCCCUGAGUCUGCAAUGUUCACAUACGACAACUGCGAUUGCCAUGGAAAUCCUUUGCAGGCGUCUGAAAAUAUAAUUGAAUAG
rnacentral:rRNA from 1 species